rnacentral:tRNA from 1 species
GGCUUUAUAGUCAAUAAUGAUAUUAAAAUGCAAUUUUAAAGGAAUAAUUAAUAAUUAUUAAAGCUU